UAGUGGUAGCAGAAGUAACGGGCGCGAAGAAGCCCUGGUUUGGCCACUGGCCAGCCAAUGGAAGCGUUCACGGCAGCGCAGCGCAGCGCACCUACCGCGACGGCGACGGGCGUCGCGUCAGGGGAGCAGCGGCCGGAUGGCGCGGAUGGUUGAGGCGGUAGUGGAACCGAGCGGGCGAAGAAAAAAAAAGGUCGGCGGUUUCGCCGUGCAUCGCGGCAUCCCAGAUCGGACGGGAGGCGGCGGCGUGAUUGCCAGCCGGAGCGCUGGCUCGGUCGGUCCCAGAGGAAGGAGAAGGUUGGGUCCGUGAGUCCGUCUCCGUCCGUCCGCCACGGCUGCUCGUCAACGCACACACCCACGCGUCCCUUUCGCUGAAGUGCGACGCCGGCUGCCAACUGCCCCCAUUAUACCGUGUGUGUACUUGUCGAGUUGUCGUCACCUUGGACGACAAGUCGAGAAGUGGGAACCAGAAGCUUCCAUAUCACCAUAUGUGACCACUUUGCCUCCUCGGCACACUAGGAUCCAAACAGACCUUGAUAACACCAGUGAUGAAUUCUCGAAUACUAGGCCCAUGUCAAGUCGUCAACUGUAGUCUGUGCAGUUUGAGCUAGCUCACCGCAUCAAUAAUACUGCAGCACCAGCAGCGCUUCUGCGCUUGGUUCAGCUCUACAA
rnacentral:lncRNA from 1 species